ACAUACUACUUUAUAUGCCCAUA
rnacentral:miRNA from 1 species